rnacentral:rRNA from 1 species
UCCUACGGGAGGCAGCAGUGGGGAAUUUUGGACAAUGGACGCAAGUCUGAUCCAGCCAUUCCGCGUGCAGGAUGAAGGCCCUCGGGUUGUAAACUGCUUUUGUACGGAACGAAAAGGUUUCUAUUAAUACUAGGAGCUCAUGACGGUACCGUAAGAAUAAGCACCGGCUAACUACGUGCCAGCAGCCGCGGUAAUACGUAGGGUGCAAGCGUUAAUCGGAAUUACUGGGCGUAAAGCGUGCGCAGGCGGUUAUGUAAGACAGAGGUGAAAUCCCCGGGCUCAACCUGGGAACUGCCUUUGUGACUGCAUAGCUAGAGUACGGUAGAGGGGGAUGGAAUUCCGCGUGUAGCAGUGAAAUGCGUAGAUAUGCGGAGGAACACCGAUGGCGAAGGCAAUCCCCUGGACCUGUACUGACGCUCAUGCACGAAAGCGUGGGGAGCAAACAGGAUUAGAUACCCUGGUAGUCCACGCCCUAAACGAUGUCAACUGGUUGUUGGGUCUUCACUGACUCAGUAACGAAGCUAACGCGUGAAGUG